GGUGACGGUCGCCCUCCCCUCCGCCGUGAGGCGGGUGGUACGCGCCGGCUCGGAGGUUCGGCUUCAUUGUCCGCUCCCCUUCCGCCACUCCCCCCUGUGCCGGUGCGGGUUGGUACGUGCCGAGCGGGGCAGCUGGAGGCGCGCGGCGGGGCGGCAGUAUACCCCCCCUGGGGAGCGCGGUGGUAGGCGCCUCCUGAGGGAGAAGCGGGCCGUGUGCAGCGGCUGCCAUGGCGGAGGCGGCUCCUCAGGGCGGGAGAAGGUCCCCGGCCUGGCCUGGCCUGGCCUGGCCCGGCCCGGCGCGCUCUCCCCCGCCGUCGAACCGUGGCUGAGGGCGGGCAGCCUGGGGCUGCUCAGCCGGGAGGCUGAGAUCAGAACGUGCCUUACUACUUCAGUCCUGCAGCAGUAACUGUCCUGGUCCCUCAGCCCCCUUCGUAAUUUGUGGUCAGAUUUGCUACUGGAAAUGGGAGGGUUGAACUCAGGCUGUGCCCUUAGUGAAGGCACCAAGUGUCUGUUCUUGAUAGUUUUGUGAAAGUUACAGGAACUCACUGUAAAAAAACCAAACCUACCAGUUUGUACUCAAAACUUACAAGAGGGAUGGAUGCAUAUAAGAGAUGUGAACAAUAUCCUAGGGACAAUGAAGGUAAGAGUUUUGCCUGAAGAAUUUACCUAAUCUCUUCUUUAAAAACAUCUUGCAAAGUUGAGCAGUUUGUUUGGACAGAACCAGCUGUGUUACAGCUGUUCUGUGUUCCCGUUAUUAGUCUCUGCAGAGGGUGAGUGGGUGGAUUUCUUCUUUUGCGGAUUACACCGAUACAAUGUAUUCACCAGACAGCUUGAUGAGCGAACCACUGAGAGGGGGGUCUCAAAAGAAACGAGCCGCGUUGAUUCGGCAUGUCGUGGAGUUAGUUGUCUGUGUGGGCUGCCAGAACUGCGGGAAGCCUUUAGAAUGGUUUUUAGCAUUGUUUUUUUUUUUCUUUCUUUUUUUCUUUUUUUUUCAGAGGAGUGGAAGGAACUGAUGUUGAUUUGAAUUAUGGCGGCAGUAAGCAACCGCAGUGUGUAUGUGCAUGUAGGCUGGGGGGUCACUAAAUAAUUGUUAAAGCUCAGCAGUUAAUACAUAUGGCCAUUAUAAUUACGGUGUCAUCGAUUUAGGUACUGUGUUUAUUGCUGAAAUGUAUGUUAUUUAAAAUAUGAUGCACUCAUUAAACUUGGACAAAAUGCUCUGGUUUUAGAGAAAACAAAGGAAUCUAGUAUGAAUGUACAGGUGAAACUGCAUAUGUAAGGAAUCAUUUCACAUGACCUCAAUACUAAAAUUACUGUCUGUGAAUUUAGUCAGUGGGAUAGAAACUUGAAUAAAGUGAGAGAAGGGCUGGAGGUGUGGUAAAGGUGCAAAAAUUCCAAAUUUAUAAUUUUGUUUUGUGCCACUUAAUUGCACCACCAAAUUUAGCUGUGAUGCAGGUUGUUUGCUAAGGUCCAGCUGUGGAAACAGCUGAUGCUGCAGUAGCUAGGAAAGGGCUGAGGACUUUGAGUGCAGUAUAAGCUGAACUUAACAGUGUCAUGGUGCUGCAGAACAGGCAAAUGCUGUCUUGAAAUUCACAGGAGCAUAGUUGAAGAGAUCCAGGGAGUAGUCUCGGCUGUGCUCGGCGUUGGCGUGGCUUUGGUUGAUCUGCUGGUGAUCUUAAAUGAUCUGAACGAAUAACAAGAACUUGUACUGAGGUGAGAUGCAGUGCUGAAGAAGCAGCUACUGCAUGGGUUCCUUGUGCCAAGACAGCAGCUUCUCAGGUUGAAUUGUAAUAGUGACACAUUCAGAUUAAAAAUUAAUUUUAAAAAUUACUUUACUAUAAACUCAAGUUGGAGAGUGAGGAUUUAUUUAAAAUUGAAAAACUGGUGCUAUUUUCUUGACACUGGCAUGCAUAAAGACUUGUUUUUGUACUUAAACAAUUUUCACUGAGAUCAUGUACUGCUAAAAUGAGUUAAAAUUCAACAACUGUAGUCAAAAACUUCUGGAAAUAACUUCUGUAGGAACUAAAGAAAAAAAAGCACACAGUCCUGCUCUCUUGGUGUUUGUUUAUUUGUCAGAGUGAUGUCAUGUUUAUCUUUGUUGCUACUAUUUAACUAUUGUAACUGACGGUACCUCCUAUAAUUGCAAAACUUGUAAUAUGUUUUUCGUUUACUAGCAUUGCACUGCAUAUCGUAUGUUACAUUGCCUUCCCAUUUGAAGAGAGUAGAUAUUAGGGGAUGUGGAUUUUAUUUUUGCACCUGUAUAAUAUUAUCUGAUUUCUGCCCACCUCCAUUAUUAUCAAACACUAUUAAUAUUGCACUUCGAGGGUACAGACUUUUAAACCACUUUUCUGCAGUCAGAUGUGAGCUCAUUUAGUGAAGGUGCUGAAGUGGCGAGCUUUGAGCUGCCCCAGAUGGGGAGCUGUGCUGGCUCGUUAGCACUGUUCUGAAGCUAAUAAAAGGCAGGGUGCAGCAGCACCCAGCUGGAACCAGCCUCCCAAGUCCAGGUGGCUUAGGGUGAGGGCAGGGUGAGCCCACACAGACCUAUUUUCUACAUGGAUGUAUUUGAAGUGUCUUAUGGUGUUCUGAUGAUGGAAGUGAGCGUGUACCCUUUGCCUUUUACUUUUAAUCUUUCUUGGAUUGUGGGAUCAAGGAAAAAUUCUUUGUGAAUAUCCACUGGAGUUCUUAGGUUGCGGAUAAGAUUAAAAAUGCAAUCAGCUUGUAUAAUUUUAAUUCAACUCUGUGUGUGUUUCUGCGUGUGUAUAUGUAUUGAAGGAAUGCAUUAUAAGCUGUGAUUUUUACAUUGUUCAGUAUAUGAAAUAAAGGUAUUCUGAUGAGGAAUUUA